UGCAGGACAAAGGCUGUCAAAUAACUGUGGAGUGUUUGUCUUGAUGGCAAGUACGUACUGUAAAUGAGGAACAUCGAGGUGUAAUCAAUUGCUGUUACCCAUUUAACUUUUUUUGGUGUGUCUUUGCAUAUUAUAGUAUGCACUGUAUGUUAUUCUGGGACAGAAGUUUGAAUUCACUGAACUAAACAUGAAGAACAUAGGAAAAUGGUGGUGUGCCAUCUUGCUUGAAAAUUAAACAUGGGAGAAAGAGAAAAUGAGCUGUUGUACCUGAAGAAGAAGAAGAAGAAUGCUCUGCACUCCCUGAAACCUACGGGAAGAAAAAAACUGAACUUGCAUAUGAAACAGACCAAACCCCAGUUGUGCCCUCUAUUUUUAGCAAGGUAUGCAUAAUCAAUUGCAAUGAUGAUUUAAAAUGUGCAUCAUAGAACAAUUUUAAUCCACUUAUAUUUUUCUUUAAGGAUGAGCUGUUAAAAGAUAAUGACCCUCCAUCAUGCUUUAUCUUCAAGGUAGUUGAAUGUUAUAUA